rnacentral:rRNA from 1 species
AUUGAACGCUGGCGGCAGGCCUAACACAUGCAAGUCGAACGAGUGGCGGACUGGUGAGCAAUGUCUGGGAAACUGCCCGAUGGAGGGGGAUAACUACUGGCAACGGUAGCUAAUACCGCAUACUCUCGGAUGUGCCCAUAUGGGAUUAGCUAGUAGGUGAGGUAACAGCUCACCUAGGCGACGAUCCCUAGCUGGUCUGAGAGGAUGACCAGCCAGACUGGAACUGAGGCACAGUCGAGACUCCUGCAGUAGGCAGCGGUGGGGAAUAUUGCACAAAGGGCGCGAGGCUGAUACAGCCAUGACGAGUGAAUGAAGAAGGCCUGCGGAGUGUAAAGUACUUUCAGCGAGGAGGCGGUACUCGCAGAAGAAGCACCGGCUAACUCCGUGCCAGCAGCAGCGGUAAUUC